rnacentral:rRNA from 1 species
AAUGAACGCUAAUAAUAUGCUUUAUACAUGCAAGUCGAACGAAAUUUCAUUUCGUGGCGUACGGGUGAGUAGUAAUGCAGAAUGUUACCUUUUAGUUGAGAACAAAAUUACUUUUUAAGUAUGAAAUUCUUAGAUAUUUAAUAAAAGUCAAAAAAUAGUUUACUAUUUUUGUCUGCUAAAAGAUAGGUCUGUGUAAGAUUAGGUAGUUGGUUAUUGUAAUAGUUUACCAAGCCUACGAUCUUUAGUUGGUCUUAGAGGAUGAACAACCACACUGGAACUGAAAUAAGGUCCAGGCGUUAGAUUUUUUACGGGCCAGCAGUAAGGAAUAUUAGGCAAUGAACGAAAGUUUGAUCCAGC